rnacentral:ncRNA from 1 species
AGAUGAGAGAAACACCCCGCCCGCGGGAGACCGCGGGUGACACCAGGGCGGAGCCUCCCCAGCCCCGCCCGGGUCGUGCCACCGCGCACGCACCCGGAGCAUUCUGCUCCGGAACUCCUCACCGAUCGGA